rnacentral:tRNA from 1 species
UGUCCAAUGCGGGAAUCGAACCCGGGUCCUAGUGGUCGAAAACCAAACGGUUUAACCAGCCUUCCACCAAUUACC